CGAACGGGUGAGUAACACGUGGGUGAUCUGCCCUGCACUUCGGGAUAAGCCUGGGAAACUGGGUCUAAUACCGGAUAGGACUCCUGGCUUCAUGGUUGGGGGUGUAAAGCUUUUGCGGUGUGGGAUGGGCCCGCGGCCUAUCAGCUUGUUGGUAGGGUAAUGGGCCUACCAAGGCGACGACGGGUAGCCGGCCUGAGAGGGUGACCGGCCACACUGGGACUGAGAUACGGCCCAGACUCCUACGGGAGGCAGCAGUGGGGAAUAUUGCACAAUGGCGCAAGCCUGAUGCAGCGACGCCGCGUGAGGGAUGACGGCCUUCGGGUUGUAAACCUCUUUCAAUAGGGACGAAGCGCAAGUGACGGUACCUAUAGAAGAAGGACCGGCCAACUACGUG
rnacentral:rRNA from 1 species